AUUGAACGCUGGCGGCAGGCCUAACACAUGCAAGUCGAGCGAGCGGCGGACGGGUGAGGAAGGUCUGGGAAACUGCCUGAUGGAGGGGGAUAACUACUGGAAACGGUAGCUAAUACCGCAUACCAUCAGAUUUGCCCCGAUGUGAUUAGCUUGUAGGUGGGGUAACGUCUCACCUAGGCGACGAUCCCUAGCUGGUCUGGGAGGAUGACCAGCGACACGGGAACUGAGACACGGUCCAGAUUCCUACGUGAGGCAGCAGUUGGGAAUAGUGCACAAUGGGCGCAAGACUGAUGCAGCCAGGCCGCGUGUGUGAAGAAGGUCUUCGGGUUGUAAAGCUCUUUCGUCGGGGAGGCGUUACCCGCAGAAUAAGCACCGGCUAACUCCGUGCCAGCCGCGGCGGUAAUAC
rnacentral:rRNA from 1 species